UACAGAGGGUGCGAGCGUUGUUCGGAAUCAUUGGGCGUAAAGCGCUUGUAGGCGGCCUGUCAAGUCGCGUGUGAAAUCCCUUGGCUUAACCAAGGAAGUGCGCGCGAAACUGGCGGGCUUGAGUGCCGGAGAGGGUCGCGGAAUUCCCGGUGUAGAGGUGAAAUUCGUAGAUAUCGGGAGGAACACCAGUGGCGAAGGCGGCGACCUGGACGGACACUGACGCUGAGACGCGAAAGCGUGGGGGAGCAAACAGG
rnacentral:rRNA from 1 species